AAUAAUAAGAAGAUUCAUGCAUUUAUUUAGCAAAACUGGACUGCAUGACAGUGCUUAUAUCAUGCACCAGGCUCUGUUCUAGAUUCUAACCUCGUUCAUCCUCACAGCAACAUUAUGCAAAAGUACUAUUAUCAUCUCCAUUCUCUAGGUGAGGACGUUGAAGCACAGAGACAUUAAGUCACUUGCCCGAAGUCACACAGCUAAGAUUCAGACCUGGAGAGCCUGGCUCUGGAACGCACACUCUGAAUCUCUAGGCUGCCUGUUGGGUACAGUGUUUGGUUUAGAGUUGUGCUCAAGAAACAGUAAUUCUGAGGCCAGGCAAAAUGGCUCAUGCCUGUAAUCCCAGCACUUUAGGAGGCCGAGGUGGGCGGAUCACUUGAGGUCAGGAGUUCAAGACCAGCCUGGCCACUAUGGCAAAACUCCAUCUCUACUAAAAUACAAAAAUUAGCUGGGCAUGGUGGCAGGCGCCUGUAAUCCCAGCUACUCGGGAGGCUGAGGCAGGAGAAUCGCUUGAACCCAGGAGGUGGAGGUUGCAGUGAGCCAAGAUUGCGCCACUGCUCUCCAGCCUGGGCAACAGAGCAAGACUCUGACACACACACACACACACACACACACACAAAAGAAAAAGAAAAUGAAAAAAGAAAAAAAAGGAAAUGACCAGCCUGACCAACAAGGAGAAACCCCAUCUCUACUAAAAAUACAAAAUUAGCCGGGCGUGGUGGCGCAUGCCUGUAAUCCUAGCUACUUAGGAGGCUGAGGCAGGAGAAUUGCUUGAAUCCAGGAGGCAGAAGUUGCGGUGAGCCGAGAUCAUGCCAUUGCACUCCAGCCUGGGCAACAAGAGCAAAACUCCAUCUCACAAAAAAAAAAAAAAAAAAAAAGGAAAUGGUAAUUCUAAUUUCCUCCUUUGACAACCCAGCUGUGGUUAGCCCCAUCUGGCAGCUGUGGAAACUGAGGCUCAGUGAGAGAGAGGACACGGGGGAGGACAGGGCACCCCCAGAGCCCAGGUGUGUGUCAUACCAGCAUCUGGGCUUGUCACUGUGAUGUGGCAUCUGGGCUUGUCACUGUGAUGUGGCAUCUGGGCUUGUCACUGUGAUGCAGCAGUGUCCUUCCAGCCCUGACUGAUGGGGUCCCCAUGGCAGACGGAGGCCUUCUUCUCCCAGUCCACCCAGGUGCUUUCUUACCUGCACGAUGUAGUCACAAUCUUCCACCUCGAACGCGAUGUCCUUCACUCCGUCACCGUGUUUCACCAGGCCCUGAACGCAGAGCCCACCCACGGAGCCAUGCAUCCACCCUCCCAGAACCCAGACCCCACCCACAGAGCCAUGCGUCCACCCUCCCCGGGCACCUCACCUUUGUUCCAGGGGUUGAGCGCUGAGGAGAGGACAAACACAAUCUAAGAUACGGGGAGAAGGAGAUGGAGUCUUGCUCUGUCGCCCAGACUGGGGUACAGUGGCAUGAUCUCGGCUCAUUGCAACCUCUGCCUCCCAGGUUCAAGAGCUUCUCCUGCCUCCGCUUCCCUGGGAUUACAUGCGCCCACCACCACACCCAGCUAAUUUUUGAAUUUUUAAUAGAGAUGGGGUUUCACCAUCUUGGCCAGGCUGGUCUUGAACUCCUGACCUCGUGAUCUACCCACCUUGGCCUCCCAAAGUGCUGGGAUUAUAGGCGUGAGCCACCAUGCCCGGCCUGUACCAUGAUUUCUUUAACCAGCUCCUAGAAUCAAGCAUUACCAAGAUCUUCCCAUUAGAAACAGCAUGGAUGGUGAUCUAGCUCAUUUGAAUGUAGAGUUUAAUGCUCUUUAACAAUUGCUUUAUUAAAUUACUCUGAAUUUAUAUUAAUAAGUAUCUUAUUACUAUUUUAUGUUUUGUAGAGACAGAGUCUUGUCAUGUUGCCCAGGCUAGUCUCAAACUUCUGGCCUCAAGUGAUUCUCCUGCAUUGGCCUUCCAACGUGCUAGGAUUACAGACAUGAGCCACCAUGCUAGGCAGUAUCUUAUUAUUGUUAUUAUUUUCGAGGGUCUCAAUCUGUCACCCAGGCUGGAGUGCAGUGGCGUGACCUCAGCUCGCUGCAACCACUGCCUCCCAGGCUCAAGCAAUCCCCCCACAUCAGCCUCCCAAGUAGCUGGGACUACAAGUGUGUCCCACCACGCCAGGCUAAUUUUUUGUAUUUUUAGUAGUAGACAGGAUUUCACCAUGUUGGCCAGGCUGGUCUUGAACUCCUGACCUCAGGUGAUCUGCCCACCUUGGCCUCCCAGUGUUGGGAUUACAGGUGUGAGCCACCGUGCACAACCCAGUAUCUUAUUUUUAAAAAUUACUUUCUGCUCUGCUCCACGCUCUGCCCAGGUACUAAAUAUUAACACCCUCACAGGUAUAACUGCUUCCCUUUUUCCAUUCUAUGGGGGAGUUGACUUUACUGAAUAA